CUGCCUGCCUUGGAAGCUCAAGGUCCCGAGUUUGAUCCCCAGUACCAAAAAAAAGAAAAUGGCUUUAAUUUGCAGUUGUAUAAUUUUAUCCUAACAUUUACUCUUUUCCAAGUAACAUGCUAAGAUAUUUUUCAUAGACGGUAUUAUUUCAUUUGCCCCUGACAACACACUUAUGAGCUAAAUGUUAUUCUUAAUUUGGUUUUAUAUAUGAGGAAACUGAAGGUCAGAGAUGUGAAGCAGUUCAUCCAAGAUCACCAUCCAAGAACACCAACAGAAGCAGGGUGAAGAAUGAGAAAUUCAGAACUUGUUCUUCUUGGAUCACUUCCAAGAAAUAAGAAUGCAAAAGGGUGCCUGUCAUUGCCUUGAUCCUUAAGAAGCCCAUCUGCAGCCGUCCUCAAACCCAAGGGCAGGACUCUGUACAGAGGCAAAAGGAGAUACUGAAUGCAGGGCAAGGAGCAUCGUGUAGGAGAGGUGGGACUGGGCCGGGAGGCAGGUGUGUCUAUCCUCAGAAAGCUGCAAGGGCAGGGAGGUAGAAAUUCAGGGAGACUGUCUGGGGCAGAGGGGCCAGGAGAAACCCAUUCAAGUGGUGAAGAAGUGCCAAGGGGUGUGUGUGUGUGUGGGGGGGCAGCUCCCUUCCCAGUACUCUGGGCUGCUGAGGAGGGAGGAUCACAAGUCUGAGCCCAGCCUGGGCAACUUAGCAAGGCCUUAUGUCAAAAUUAAAACAAUGAAACAGGGCUAAGAACACAGUUCAGGCCAAAGGCCCAGGGUUCAAUCCCCAGUCUGGGGUGAGGAGGAUGGAGGAGGUCAGGAAUCCCAGGAAGAAGGAGCAAGUAAGGUGUUGGAUCCUCUCAGAGGGAUUUAGCACCCCCCCAAGAGCCUCACUGUCAGCGUGCUUGUUCACAAGGUACUGGAGGCCGUUAGUGAGACAGCCCGCGGGCCAAGGACUGAGAGGUAGGCAGGAGCUCUUGACUCCUGCAGUUUUCAGUCUUGUUUAUCUUUGAAACUCCAGGACCUGGUCGCCCCCACACAGCAGGUACUCAGUGUUUGAAAUGAAUUGCGGCCCUUUUUUUUUGGAUUCUCUUUCCUUUAGCAUCCCUGCUCAGCAGCUGAAAUCCCCAUUAAAGAUUUUCUAAAUUGCUUGUAAUUGUUAGAGGUUGGGUAAGUGAGAUAGGGAAGGGUGUGUGGUAAGGGUGGAAGGCACAGAAUGCUAAUAAGCAGGAUGUGCACUGGACAUUUGCAGUAGUAGAAAAAGAAUCCUGUUUCCUGCUGAGUACUCCCUGGACCCUUGUCAGGUGUCUCUCCUCACCAUAGAAGGUUGAGGUUGGCUAAUUAAUUCUCUUCUUCCCAAUUAUUUGGAAGUUCUUACAAAUCAACUUAGUUUGCUUUUUGAAGUUUGUCUGCUAAGUUGAUAGUUUUCUCCCAGGCUUUAUUUCGUUUGUGUUGAUUUGAUGUCACAAGGACCUUUCAAGUCAUAAUUUAUAUCAUAAGAUAGAGUUCUCCCCACUCUCCUUUCCUUAACCCCCUCCAAUAAAACAGACUAACAAAAACAACUAACUGACUAAUCAUCUCACUUACGUUUUUAUAAUUCUACUAGACACAUCACUUAAGGCGGUUGAGAACUGAGAGAAAAACAAAGUAGCACCUUUUCAUAUGUUUUGAUCCUAUUCUACCAUCCUCUGGUGAAAUUCGGUAUUGCACUCCAAUUUCUAAAUAUUUGGAUAUUUACACAAAUAGGUUCAUGUGAAUAUAGUUGAAAGAAUAUCCACAUUAUUUUAUAAUAAACAUAUUAAGUCUCACA